GCAGUCAACAGGAUCCAUUGAGAGAGAGAGAGAGAGAGAGAGAGAGAGAGAGGCACAUUUUGACAUUUACUCCAAAAUAGAACGGUUUAAAGUUUAAUUUAAAUAAAUGGUGUACUGGACAGUAAUCUUUGACAACAUUUAUCUUUCAUUGUCCAUAAAAUAUAUCAAACUAGUUAUGAAUAAGGACCCACAAAUACAAACAACUUAAAGCAUCCCCUCUCCUUUUCUGGCUGUCUACCCCUUUCUGGUCUGUAUUAUAUGUAUUGAACAAUUACAUUUUAUAAUUUAUUCUGUAACCACUAGUCUUUUGGCAUAUGUUUGAAAAGAAACACAUUU